UACGGAGGGUGCAAGCGUUAAUCGGAAUCACUGGGCGUAAAGCGCGCGUAGGCGGUCUUUUAAGUCGGACGUGAAAGCCCUCGGCUCAACCGGGGAACUGCGUUCGAAACUGGGAGACUUGAGUCCUGGAGAGGGUGGCGGAAUUCCGGGUGUAGGAGUGAAAUCCGUAGAUAUCCGGAGGAACACCGGUGGCGAAGGCGGCCACCUGGACAGGUACUGACGCUGAGGCGCGAAAGCGUGGGGAGCAAACAGG
rnacentral:rRNA from 2 species